rnacentral:rRNA from 1 species
UGGGGAAUAUUGCACAAUGGGCGCAAGCCUGAUGCAGCCAUGCCGCGUGUGUGAAGAAGGCCUUCGGGUUGUAAAGCACUUUCAGCGAGGAGGAAGGUGGUGAGCUUAAUACGCUCAUCAAUUGACGUUACUCGCAGAAGAAGCACCGGCUAACUCCGUGCCAGCAGCCGCGGUAAUACGGAGGGUGCAAGCGUUAAUCGGAAUUACUGGGCGUAAAGCGCACGCAGGCGGUUUGUUAAGUCAGAUGUGAAAUCCCCGGGCUCAACCUGGGAACUGCAUUUGAAACUGGCAAGCUAGAGUCUCGUAGAGGGGGGUAGAAUUCCAGGUGUAGCGGUGAAAUGCGUAGAGAUCUGGAGGAAUACCGGUGGCGAAGGCGGCCCCCUGGACGAAGACUGACGCUCAGGUGCGAAAGCGUGGGGAGCAAAACAGGAUUAGAUACCCUGGUAGUCCAGCGCUGUAAAACGAUGUCGAUUUUGGAGGUUGUGCCCUUGAGGCGUGGCUUCCGGAGCUAACGCGUUAAAUCGACCGCCUGGGGAGUACGGCCGCAAGGUUAAAACUCAAAGGAAUUGACGGGGUCAUAGCUG